AUGUGAGCAUCGCGACGGGGGGAUCCCAAGUGCCAUUCUUAACGGGAUGGCUUUUCUUAAGUGUAAAGAGCUUUUGGAAUAAGAGCUGGGCAAGACCGGUGCCAGCAGCCGCGGUAA
rnacentral:rRNA from 1 species